UCAGCUUCUAGCCUUUGUGCUAAGAUCUUUUCGAUUUUAAAAGUUCUUAUACGUUUAACAGCGUAUAGCAAGUCAUUGACUUGCAUCGUUGUUUACGAAUUUGUGUUGAAUUACUGCGUAAUCGCGGUAGCCUGGUUCGGGGCUACACCUUCUCCGAUACCAGGAGGCGUU
rfam:Gregarina niphandrodes unplaced genomic scaffold scaffold00032, whole genome shotgun sequence.